UCUGCCCGGUGUUAGAUUAAUAAACGGCCGUUUGUACGCUAAGGUAGCAUAAUCAGUUGUUCCUUAAUUGGGGACUAGAAUGAAGGGGGUCAUAUAGAUGGGCUUUUUUCAUCUAAACUUUAAAAAUUAAAAUUCUUAUGAAAAUGUAAGGAUAAUUAUUAAAGACCAAAAGACCCUAUUGAGCUUAAAUCUAGAUGAAUUUUUUCUUAAUAGAUUUUUAUUGGGGGGGUAAGGGAUAUACAUCCUUAUUUUAAAUUUAACCUUUAAAAACCAAAGUAUAGUUACCAUAGGGAUAACAGGCCUAAAUUUUUUAAGAGUUCACAUUAACAAAAAAUUUUGGCACCUCGAUGUUGGCUUAAGAUAAAUCCUAGGUGCAGAAGUUUAGGUGAAARGCBU
rnacentral:rRNA from 1 species